rnacentral:lncRNA from 1 species
CUGCCAGUGAGAUGUCAACAUCAGACUCUUACAAUACAUUUCCCAGGUUCUUGCCUCCCCACUAGAAGAAUUGCUCCUCAGAGAUCAAGAUAAUCUACUGCCAACCCCAUACAGUGGGUCACAAGUAUCUGCCUUUGUCUGGACAAUAGGGUGCAACCUACAGAAGAGUCAAAUGAAGGUGGACUCAGGAGCAAAUGAAAACUGUAUGUAUUCUCAAUUCACUUACUUGCUGAGGGAAAAUUGAAGUGCUGAAAAAGUUUCAACUUUCUUGCCUGUUUCUGUCUACAAAGCCAUCCUGAUUCCAGAUUCCUACUGGAAAAGAGGACUGGGGGUUUGGUGAAAGAAACUGAUAGUCCAGUGAAGACUGAUGACCAUCUAUUACAGUCCUCAGUUUCCUCUGAGGACUUGUUGGAAUCACUUGCAAGUGACAGCAACGACAAGGAGAACCCACUGAAUGUCCUGGUGGAUGCAAGAGGAACUGAAAAUGGUAUGCACUGUGGAAUCACUCACUUGCUGAUAAAUUGUCUAGAUGAUGAGGAAGGUGGAACUGUCUUGCUGACUUUCAUGUGGAGAGCCGCCCUGAUUCCAACUGUCUGCCAUGGAUAAGGACUGGGAGUCCUGUAUGGACACCUGGCGGCUGGGAGGAUCUGGAGCUUCCUGAGUAAUGGGAAGCACGAAUGAAGCAUUAAGGUCAAUGUACAGGAGCAACUUCCUGCUUGUUCUUUCCAUAGUUUAAAUUAGAUGCAGUUUAUUUUAUCUUGUAUAGUCUAAAUAUUAAUUUUGAAAAUGAGUGCAAUAUUUAAUAUUGAUGUUUUUAUAUUAAAUAACAGAUACUUGCUACCAAUUGAUUUUAAAGAUUUUUCCAUUAAAAAAAAUGUAUCAUAGAAAAACACCUCUGUAUAAGCAGUGUUUUACCUUUUGCAAAUCAUCAAUCAUGCUUGGCCACAGUGCUACCAAACUGCUUGAACACGGGCACUAGUGGAAUAGGUUCCAUGUUCCUUAAAAUAUCAUUUUCUUCAUUU